GAUGAAGAACUCAGCGAAAUGCGAUAAGUAAUGUGAAUUGCAGAAUUCAGUGAAUCAUCGAAUCUUUGAACGCACAUUGCGCCCGCCAGUAUUCUGGCGGGCAUGCCUGUCUGAGCGUCAUUUCAACCCUCAUGCCCCUAGGGCGUGGUGUUGGGGAUCGGCCAAAGCCCGCGAGGGACGGCCGGCCCCUAAAUCUAGUGGCGGACCCGUCGUGGCCUCCUCUGCGAAGUAGUGAUAUUCCGCAUCGGAGAGCGAUGAGCCCCUGCCGUUAAACCCCCAACUUUCCAAGGUUGACCUCAGAUCAGGUAGGAAUACCCGCUGAACUUAAGCAUAUCAAUAAGCGGAGGA
rnacentral:misc_RNA from 1 species